UCCUUAGUACGAGAGGACCGGGAUGGACAUACCUCUGGUGUACCAGUUGUCGUGCCAACGGCAUAGCUGGGUAGCUAUGUGUGGACGGGAUAAGUGCUGAAAGCAUCUAAGCAUGAAGCCCCCCUCAAGAUGAGAUUUCCCAACUUCGGUUAUAAGAUCCCUCAAAGAUGAUGAGGUUAAUAGGUUCGAGGUGGAAGCAUGGUGACAUGUGGAGCUGACGAAUACUAA
rnacentral:rRNA from 1 species